CAAUAGCGUAUAUUUAAGUUGUUGCAGUUAAAAAGCUCGUAGUUGGAUUUCGGAUGGGAUUUGCCGGUCCGUCGUUGCGAUGUGCACUGGCCAGUCCUAUCUUGUUGUCGGGGACUAGCUCCUUGGAUUCACUUCCUGGGACUAGGAGCUGACGAGGUUACUUUGAGUAAAUUAGAGUGUUCAAAGCAAGCCUACGCUCUGAAUACAUUAGCAUGGAAUAACACGAUAGGACUCUGGCUUAUCUUGUUGGUCUGUGAGACCAGAGUAAUGAUUAAGAGGGACAGUCGGGGACAUUCGUAUUUCAUUGUCAGAGGUGAAAUUCUUGGAUUUAUGAAAGACGAACUUCUGCGAAAGCAUUUGUCAAGGAUGUUUUCAUUAA
rnacentral:rRNA from 1 species